rnacentral:rRNA from 1 species
CGGAGGAAAAGAAACCAACAGGGAUUGCCUCAGUAACGGCGAGUGAAGCGGCAAAAGCUCAAAUUUGAAACCCUCGGGAUUGUAAUUUGAAGAUUUGGCAUUGGAGAAAGCUAACCCAAGUUACUUGGAAUAGUACGUCAUAGAGGGUGACAACCCCGUCUGGCUAACCGUUCUCCAUGUAUUGCCUUAUCAAAGAGUCGAGUUGUUUGGGAAUGCAGCUCAAAGUGGGUGGUAAACUCCAUCUAAAGCUAAAUACUGGUGAGAGACCGAUAGCGAACAAGUACUGUGAAGGAAAGGUGAAAAGAACUUUGAAAAGAGAGUGAAAUAGUAUGUGAAAUUGUUGAUAGGGAAGGAAAUGAGUGGAGAGUGGUUUAGGUUUCAGCCUUCUUUCGAGGGGGUGCACUACCAACGCCGAGUCAUUGAUAGCGAGAC